GUCAAUAGCCCAAGGCCACUGUCCAAGCUUUGGGACCCAGCACAGCUCCACACAUCCUUUGAUGGAGAAGAUGACCGAAUGUAUCUGGUGCUCCUGGGGAUGGGGCUGGGCCCAUGGCCAGCUGGAGAAGUCAGCGUCAGUCAGCUGGCAGGAAGGGAGGGCAGCCGACAGGCCAGCCCCCCAGCGCCAGGACUCCAGCACUUUCCAGUACUUAGCAAAGGGUAGACAAGAAGAGGGUCAGACCAGCUGAGCUGCCUGGAAGAGCUUUAGACCAACUGAGGCACCUGGAGAGGACACUCUCCCACCUGGGGAGCCGCCUGCAGGCUGUGUGGUGUGCUCCGGGUUCCCAGCUUCGGGAGCUGUCACCCAUGCUGGGGCGGGCUUAGGUGAUACAGUUGUCUUUGAGGCAUUUUUGCUCCUGUGGGUAACCCGUCAUCUAUAUUCCUGUUAGUGACCCCAAUAAAACUCAUCCAUGGUUCACCAA